rnacentral:rRNA from 1 species
AAUGUUGCGCAAUGGAGGGAACUCUGACGCAGCGACGCCGCGUGAGCGAUGAAGGUCUUCGGAUCGUAAAGCUCUGUCCUUGGGGAAGAAGGUCUUCGGACUUGACGGUACCUAAGGAGGAAGACCCGGCUAACUACGUGCCAGCAGCCGCGGUAAUCCGUAGGGGGCAAGCGUUGUCCGGAAUUAUCGGGCGUAAAGCGCGCGCAGGCGGUCUCUUAAGUCUGAUGUGAAAGCCCACGGCUCAACCGUGGAGGGUCAUUGGAAACUGGGAAGCUUGAGUGCAGAAGAGGAGAGUGGAAUUCCAUGUGUAGCGGUGAAAUGCGUAGAGAUAUGGAGGAACACCAGUGGCGAAGGCGACUCUCUGGUCUGCAACUGACGCUGAGGCGCGAAAGCGUGGGGAGCGAACA